rnacentral:rRNA from 1 species
UACGGAGGGUGCAAGCGUUGUUCGGAUUUACUGGGCGUAAAGGGCGCGUAGGCGGCGACCCAAGUCAGAUGUGAAAGUCCUGGGCUUAACCUGGGGACUGCAUUUGAUACUGGGUUGCUUGAAUUCGGGAGAGGAUAGCGGAAUUCCCAGUGUAGAGGUGAAAUUCGUAGAUAUUGGGAAGAACACCGGUGGCGAAGGCGGCUAUCUGGACCGACAUUGACGCUGAGGCGCGAAAGCGUGGGGAUCAAACAGG